GAUGAACGCUGGCGGCGUGCCUAAUACAUGCAAGUAGAACGCUGAAGGAAGGAGCUUGCUCUUUCCGGAUGAGUUGCGAACGGGUGAGUAACGCGUAGGUAACCUGCCUGGUAGCGGGGGAUAACUAUUGGAAACGAUAGCUAAUACCGCAUAACAGUAGAUGUUGCAUGAUAUCUACUUAAAAGGUGCAAUUGCACCACUACCAGAUGGACCUGCGUUGUAUUAGCUAGUUGGUGAGGUAACGGCUCACCAAGGCGACGAUACAUAGCCGACCUGAGAGGGUGAUCGGCCACACUGGGACUGAGACACGGCCAGACUCCUACGGGAGGCAGCAGUAGGGAAUCUUCGGCAAUGGACGGAAGUCUGACCGAGCAACGCCGCGUGAGUGAAGAAGGUUUUCGGAUCGUAAAGCUCUGUUGUAAGAGAAGAACGAGUGUGAGAGUGGAAAGUUCACACUGUGACGGUAUCUUACCAGAAAGGGACGGCUAACUACGUG
rnacentral:rRNA from 1 species